GGAGGGAACUGAGUGAGAAACAGAGAGAGAAUUCAGAAGGGAGGGAGGAGAAUGCCUCUCCGUGAGCAACCACCUAGGAGUUGAUUUGAGCCAAAGGACUGCUACUAAUCCUUCUCUCUUCCUGGCCCUUUCUGGCCUGUGGAUAGUUGGAUUUAUAUUUCACUCUACCCCUGAAGUGGAAUUUACAGUGUCAUCCACUCCCUUCUAAGAGGACUGUGUGACAAUCUAAUGAGAACAUGUUCCCAGAAGAGCUGUACCGAGGGGAUUCCGCUCUGGGCCAUUGCUCAAGGUGAAGUUCCACAUCCCUGUCACCAUUCAUUGUGACAGAACCACUGUGUCUCCCAAGAAUGGCUUCAUGAACUUUGGGUUAUAGUUACAAAGUAAUGGGAGUUGAGUAACAACUUGAAGUCACUGAUUUCCCAAGGGAGGCAACAGGACCGUAUUGGAGCUUCGUGGCGCAUUUUAAAGUUAUCAUGGUUAAUCUUGAUCUACAAUCACCCAGGAAAGGGACAGACCAGCAGGACUCCGGCAUGCCUGUGGGGGGUUACGUCGAUGGGACUGAGAUGAGAAGAACUGCCCACUAUGGGCACCACCAUUCUGUAUAAGGGAAGAAAGGGAACUGAGGACAGGCAGCCAUCCCUGCUUCCGGACGACCGGCACGCUGUGAGCACAUCCCUCAGCGCCUGCAGCCAUUCCCUCCCCACUGUGUCAGACUGGACCCCGGUAUUAUGUUUCUGUUAGAGUGCAUCAUCGCAGAAACAGAAAAAUAAGACAGAUGCCCAAGCACAAGAGCCUCUGUGUGCAGAAACCCCAUUUUAACUUGCCUGACCCUGCAGGCUUAGUCAUGUCCCCCCCGAGAGCUCCUGUUCCCCGAAAAUUACUUGGGAAAUUAUUUUUCCAAAUUCUCUCUGAGCUUUAAAAUUUGGUAGCUGACAUUUUCGCUGAUAAAUGUUCUAUACCUUCAA